rnacentral:rRNA from 1 species
CCUACGGGGCGCAGCAGGCGCGAAAACUUCACAAUGUGCGAAAGCACGAUGAGGGAAUCCCAAGUGCUUGCACGUAAGUGUAAGCUGUUUCUUUGUUUAAAACGCAUAGAGAGUAAGGGCUGGGUAAGACGGGUGCCAGCCGCCGCGGUAA